UCCUAACUGAGAUUGUCUUUUGAACUUUAUCGGAGACAUAUAACUCACUCGUUGAGAGUUUAUGCUUACCUUUCUUCAGAGAAAAGGUGGGGAAAAAACCAAAAGGAAACAAAUCAAGCUGGGUUCUAUCAGUUACAAUGCUCUUGUUGGUGACAAGUAUAAGACGGCAAUGUCAGGAGAAGGAAGUGUAUUGGGAGGAAUCAGGUGUGAAGAAUUCUUACCCUUCUACCACUUGUGGAGUGCUUACAAUAUUCUAGAAUAUUCUUUGCCUUUAGGCCAUAUGUAUGAAGCACCUCGGGACCAGGAAGCCCAAACUUGUUCAAGGCGUCUCAGCUCCAGGAGAUUUGCUCACCUUCCAGGAAAACCAGACUAUCGAGGAAAACCAGACACUUGCUUGACCAGCUAUGGUCAUCAGAGCGGACUGUGCUUGCUCACACAGAGCACCCUCAACGAGAGCCCACAACCCCGUCCAGCUUCCUUCAGCUUGUCUUCCCCGUCCCUGCUCACAGAAACCUCCGCCAGCACCGAGAUG